GCAUAUACUGGGGGCCUACAGGAUUCUAAAUUGUAAGUUGGAUCAAAGACGAAAAUCAAGGCAAUUAACUUUUAGAAGCUGAGUCUUCUAGUUCCAACAACUCAAAGAAAUGAGCACAACUGUGCAAAAGACUACAAACCAUUCUAAUUUCAUCCAAAACUAAUAAAGUAGCUGUUACAAACUUCAUUUCAGAAAGCAAUAAUUAUAACAAUUAUUGCAUAAAUUAUCAUGCAUGGAAUUUUAACAAGCACAAAACAUCUAAACCAUGGAAUUGGUAAAGCUCAUACUUUGUAGCAAUAGCAUGAUCUACCAGAUAGGUAGAUACAGAUGUUAUCAAUUUGCCAACAAAUAUUCUCAUAAAAAAUAACAAGGAUGUCAGGUUGGGUGUUUAAUAGCAGAUUGAAGGCUUAACACCUCGUUGAGCUUAAAGGAAGUAAUUAAAAGACAAAAGUCAGAAGAUAAUAAUAAUCUAGUGACCCUCACAAGGAGAGAUUUGAUGUGAUUAGUCUCUAAUGACUGAUGUUCCAAUGGCAAUAUACGAGAGCCUCACACAAAAAACAUCGACCCAUUAAAGUUAAUAACCAUCGCAUAACCACCUCAAAGAAAGAGUAUAUAUCUUAGGAACUAGAUGAGAUUCUAACAAUGGAAGAUAGAUAAUUAGAGAAAAAAGAGGCUGAAACAGAGUUUGAGAAAGGAAGAAAGGGCAGAAAUAGGGUUAGAAUGGAGGUGAGGAAGAGACAAGGGAGAAGAGUUCAAAAAGGCUCUCUCAAAUAUCUAUAAUAUAAAACAGAGCGGCUCAAAUCCUAAGGCUUCAACAUCCAACGGCCUCAAAUCAAUUUAGGCUUCAACAUCUACCGAUCUAAAAUCAUUUGGGGCUUCAACAUCCGAUGACCAAGAAUUUAUCUCUUAAAAAUUCAAACCCACAUCCAUCAUCUCACUCUUUCACUCUCGGUUCUCCCUCCUCACCCACGUACGCAAGAUUUGUUUUUUCAGAAAAUGAACUUUAAUUUCUUCUUUUUCUUUUUUUUGCUCACUUCAACAACAUUUCUUUUCAUUUUUUUCCCUUUACCUAUUAUUUCUCUCUUCACCAUCUCCCUACAUCUGGGUGGGUCUACUACAGGUGAUCUUCAUCUUACCACCUUCCAUCAUCAAAAUUCAAAUCUUCAUUUUCUUUCUCAAGUUUCUUUAUAAUUAAUUUAGUGAAAAAGUUAAUUUGAGUUUUAAUUUGAACUCAAACUACCUGCACAACUCCCAAAGCUUGUUUCUUUAGAUCCAACAGUCUUUGAAAUUCAAAUGGGUAAAGAUAG
rnacentral:lncRNA from 1 species